rnacentral:rRNA from 1 species
UACGGAGGGUGCAAGCGUUAUCCGGAUUCACUGGGUUUAAAGGGAGCGUAGGAGGGCAGGUAAGUCAGUGGUGAAAUCUUCGAGCUUAACUCGGAAACUGCCGUUGAUACUAUCUGUCUUGAAUACCGUGGAGAUGAGCGGAAUAUGUCAUGUAGCGGUGAAAUGCUUAGAUAUGACAUAGAACACCAAUUGCGAAGGCAGCUCGUUACACGAAUAUUGACUCUGAGGCUCGACAGCGUGGGGAGCAAACAGG